rnacentral:rRNA from 1 species
UUGCUGACGAGUGGCGCACGGGUGAGUAAUAUAUAGGUAACGUGCCUCUUAGUCUGGGAUAGCCAUUGGAAACGAUGAUUAAUACUAGAUACUCCUUCUCAUUAUAAUUUGAGUCGGGAAAGUUUUUCGCUAAGAGAUCGGCCUAUAUCCCAUCAGUUAGUUGGUAAGGUAACGGCUUACCAAGGCAAUGACGGGUAGCGGGUUUGAGAGGAUGAUCCGCCACACUGGUACUGAGACACGGACCAGACUCCUACGGGAGGCAGCAGUGAGGAAUAUUGCACAAUGGAGGAAACUCUGAUGCAGCAACGCCGCGUGGAGGAUGACGCAUUUCGGUGUGUAAACUCCUUUUAUAAUGGAAGAAAAUGACGGUACCUUAUGAAUAAGCACCGGCUAACUCCGUGCCAGCAGCCGCGGUAAUACGGAGGGUGCAAGCGUUACUCGGAAUCACUGGGCGUAAAGGACACGUAGGCGGGUUGUCAAGUCAGGUGUGAAAUCCUACAGCUUAACUGUAGAACUGCACUUGAAACUGGCAACCUAGAGUAUGGGAGGGGGAGAUGGAAUUAGUGGUGUAGGGGUAAAAUCCGUAGAUAUCACUAGGAAUACCGAAAGCGAAGGCGAUCUCCUGGAACAUUACUGACGCUAAGGUGUGAAAGCGUGGGGAGCAAACGGGAUUAGAUACCCCGGUAGUCCCACGCCCUAAACGAUGAACACUAGUCGUCGGGAUGCUAGUCAUCUCGGUGAUGCACUUUAACAGAUUA